rnacentral:lncRNA from 1 species
UAGCCCGGAGGUGGAGGGUCGAGGGUGUCCAUUCCCUCGCUCUCUACACUUGAUCAGGAGGAGGAAGAUAACAUCUCCACAGAAAUAGAUAUAGCUUCUUCUCCCUUUCUUGGUUUUCUUCCUUCUCCCUUUUUUUCUUUCUUUUUUCGAUCUAAACUCUCGCCAUGGAUCGAUCCUAGCAUCCUUGCUGUUUUUCUUCCCAAGGAUUUUGUUAGCCUUCCUAUUGCAGAUUUCUUCACUUCAAACUAAUACGACUUCUCCCAACGACUUUAGCUUUGAGUUCUCCCUUUUAGCACUUCCCUUCCAUUCAGCAAUCAAUAUCGAUCGAAAACCUCCUUCUUGAACAAAAUAGAUAAGAGGUCUUUGUCCUACAGAUCAACGAAAACAAGAUGGAAAACGUUCUCCUGGAUCGAUCAUCUAGAAGCCUCGAGUACCCGAGAAGGGCGCCCCUUGGUCGCAGCCGGCGGGGGCCAGCUGGUGGCGCUAGGCCGGCGGUGCCGGGCGGCUCGCAUAGUAGCUCCUUCCCGAUGGUCCAGCCAUUCAAUCACCUGCGGACGAAAGGUGGCGCGUGGGCGUCCGCUCCCGCGCUUAUUCCAUACGCGAGGCCAUCCGUUCCUCUCCUACCGUCCAACCAACCGCCGCUCCUGCCGCUCCCACCCACCGCCAUGGAGUACGUCACUUUUCCCGGUCUACCAGCAGCUGCUCAACCCCCACCCCCGCCGGCGCCACGCGCCGGCAGGGCAGCAGCGGCAACCGCUACAGUUUCCGUUCCGGCAGCAGCACCAGCUGCUCCUGCGCCGCGACAGAGGGACAGGAGGAGGAGGUCGGCAAGGCCGCCGCCGGCGGCGAUGGAGAGGUCUACAGCGCAGAAGAAGAAGAAGCCGCUGGAGCGGGCGACGCCUCUGCCGCCCGCGCCAGUGGUGACGGAGGCACUGGACGACCUCGAGCAGGAGGUGGCCAGGAACUUCGUCGAGGACCUGCUGCACGUGCUGGCGCCGCCGCCAAGCAGCCUGCCGCUGCCCAGGUUCUCCGUCGUCGUGAAAGCGUCCCCCGCCAAGGACGCCAGACUGGUGGCGCGGGCGGCCGCGCCGGCCUGCAACGUGGAGGCCGCCACCGCCGACAGCAUCCGCGGCCUUCUCCGUCUGUAGGACAGCAUGCAGGAGAGAGGGCGUAAUAUAUUUCCCUCCAAUAUUAUUUCUUUGGUAGGGGAAAUUAAUUAAAUGCGUACUAAAAAGGUAGAAAAAUAGUGGAAGAAAAUAUGUGACGCUCGGGCUAUGGUCGGUCGAGUUGUCCACUUGUCCGUAGUGUGACUGUGAUGUUGGCGUUGGAGGCUUGGAGGCGGUGCAAACAGCGAGAGGGAAGACGACGACGAUGUCACCGACGUAUAGUUUGUGUGAGACGUCGUGUGGUAGAUAUCUAGGGUUUUACAUAAUGUCUACCGUCGUAUUUUCCACUAUAUUAUACUGCAGGUGAUAGGUUUUUGAAUUACCUUAUAUCAAGAGAUAGCUGCAUAUAUAUACGAUGUAAUAAUGAUGUAUGCAAGUGUGUGACUUAAUUUUCCAUAUAUACAUACAGAAACUUGUGUACUUCAUAAAGUAUAUUGAAAUGUUGUCUUCUUGCGUGUCAGCA